GUUUUCCGAUUUGGCUAUUUUCAUUUGUUUAUAAAGCCAUAAAAAAUGUUGUUACCGUCGUCGACAGCUUCUGCUUCAGUGGAAGUAGCCAAUACAGGAUUCAAAAUUCAACCAGACUUGUGGAACUGGUCACGAGUUCGGAAUGUUACGCGAGUUGAAAGGCUAUACUAGGUACUUUUCGCUGCUCCUCGGAAAAAGGAUUUCCCCGAAUAACUUGUUGGCGGAUAGCGCUGAUAUAAAGGUACUGUACUCAUCAGGAAUUGUGUAAACCCAACCGCGGAAAACUUCACGAACUUUAAGGCGAGUUUACUAUUCGGGAAAUGUGUCACGGGAUUUUGGCUCCUAUGUAUUUUAAAUGGAGCACGGGAUUUCAAAUCUCGUAGCAGGAAAUGAGCCUUCACAAACAUGACCGUUUUAAUGAAGUUUAAACCCAACAGCGGAAAACGUCACGGGAUUUUAAAACUCCACACAAAAAUCCGUCCGGGAAUAAUUCAACAGAAAUUGUUUCCUACAGGGAAAAGGGUGUUUUAAUUUGGUUUAAAAUUGGUUUAAAAUUUGAUGCUGCUGGUAUUUUUAGAAGCAGUAGAGCUUUUGGUUUGACAAUUUGGAAAAAUCUCGGCGGAAAAUUUUCGCUGAUCAAAUCUCGACACCAAUCCCGUGACCCAUUUCUCGAACUAUAAACAAGCCUUUAAGGCUACUGUACACUUUGAUCACGGAAUUUGGGCCGGGAUGUUGCGCCGGAUUUUUGGCGCGGAAAAUUUUCCGCUGUUAUCUCUAGAAACUGUCAAACCAAAAGUUCUACUAUUUCUAAAAAAAUACCACCGAUUUCAAAAUAACACCGAAUUUUGAACUUGAUAAAACACCAUUUUUCCGUCGGAAACAAUUCAUGUUGAAUUGUUUCCGAGUGGAUUUCAUGUGUGGAGAUUUUUAAAAAUCCGUGACGUUUUCUAGAAUUUGGAUUUACACUUUACGAAUCUUGAGUUUUUCGUGUAGACUUUUUCCCGUCGCGGAAAUCCAUUUUCCGUUUAAAAUACAUGGAGAGCAAAAUUCGCGAUCAGAUUCCCGGGGUGUAAAGUAGCCUUAAAGGCUACGCGGAAUUUUGUUCCCCAUGUAUUUUCAAUGGGAGAUGAAUUUCAGUAUUCCCGAGGUAUAAACUCAAUCGCGGAAAACAUCACGGAUUUUAACAAAUCUACACACAAAUAAUCCGGCCGGGCAAUCCAACAUGAAUUGUUUCCGACGGGAUAAACGUACAUAUUUAUUAGUUUUAAAAUUCUGUGCCAUUUUAGAAAGAUUUUGUAUUUUUAGAAGCAGCAGAACUUUUGGUUUGACUGUCUAGAGAGAUUGCGGCAGAAAAUUUACCGUGAUCAAAAUCCGGCGCAAAAUCCCGGCCCUGGAGUACAGCAGCUUAUAGUCUUCAAGCGCCAAUCAGUGGAUCGCAGAGACAACGAAAGCAGCGCAUUAUGGAUUGACGAUUCUGUCCACAAUCUGCUGAAGUUGACUUUUCAGUGGAGUUGAGUACAAUAGGCUAUUGGCAAAUCAAUGCUUCAACGGAAAAGUACACGUUAUAUAAUUCAAUAUGUACUACCAAUUAUUACUGAAAAUGAAAGGAAAUAAAUUCACAUAUUCAUGCUCAAUUCAUA